GGGCAAUUGGUUUAGUGGUAUAAUACCCCCUUAGCAUCCAGUUUUCAACUAUUACUUGGGGGUGGUCCAGGGUUCGAUUCCCUGAUUGUCCA
rfam:Emmonsia sp. CAC-2015a strain CBS 136260 supercont2.228, whole genome shotgun sequence.